rnacentral:rRNA from 1 species
UACAGGGGGUGCAAACGUUGCUCGGAAUCAUUGGGCGUAAAGCGCGCGUAGGCGGUCUCUUAAGUCGGAUGUGAAAGCCCUUGGCUCAACCGAGGAAGUGCACCCGAAACUGAGAGGCUUGAGUACGAAAGAGGGUCGCGGAAUUCCCGGUGUAGAGGUGAAAUUCGUAGAUAUCGGGAGGAACACCGGUGGCGAAGGCGGCGACCUGGGUCGAUACUGACGCUGAGGCGCGAAAGCUAGGGGAGCAAACGGG